CUGGACCAGUUCACCUAGAGGUGAUGAUCUCCCCAUCCCUGGAGAGAUUCACCAUCAGUCUGGAUGGGACUCUGAGCACCCUCUUCUAGCUGUAGAUGUCCCUGCUUGUUGCACGGGAUAAAUCUUCCUCUGUUUUAUAUUGAAAACUGAUUUUAUAAACAUGCUCGUGCUCAACCAGUAAGUAGCAUGGAAUAUUUGCAGUAUGGAGAUUGAUGUCCAUGAGGAAAUAUUUGGUACAUUCAAUAUGGGCAUACUUUCUUUUAUACUGAUUUCAAUAUAAGUGUAAGAAAAUGGGAAAAUGAGUUGAAGGACUAUGCCAGGACAGGAGAAAGUCUUGCUUCAGCACAACUACAGCAAAUUUCUCCCCCAGUCAUGUGAAAUGCUUUAGAAUCCAACAGCAAAACCAAACAAACUGUAAAGCUUCCUUUUAAACAAACAAACCAAAAAGCAAACAACAACAACAACAACAAAAAAAAAACCCACACCUACCAUUUAAAGAACCAAGCAAAAACAAAUCUUUAACAAAUAUUUUGCAAUCUCAGCAGAUUUGUUUAAGAAAGGAAUACUGAAGGGCAAAGAUAUAAUGUUUGAAAAUGAACUGCUCUUAACUUUGUGAAGAGCAAAGCAGAUACUGUCUUCUUCAGUACUUCCUGGCUUUGCUGUUAACGUCUUGCAGAAACAGUUUUAGGGACAUUUUCAGCAGACAGUGAAAGUGGUAGAAAACUUAAAAUGGUCUCUUAGCAGUCAUCAUAAAGCACUUCUUCACUAAGUAUCCUGCCCUUAUUUUGAAUGUUCUAGUUUUCUAAUACUCCAUUGUGGCUGUUGAAUGAGUUUUGAAUGAUUUUUUUUAUGGGGAUAUUACUGCUCUGAUUCUCUGAAGUUGACUGAUAAGUAUUUCUUGAUAGUUGUUGCUCUUGGUUUGUAACUGGUUCAGUAAAAUGCACGUUUUCUUCUCUGGACAGAGGUUUUAUUCCAAACUUUUGCAAUAUGCUUUCCUUUUUCCUACUAAAAUGGCAUAUGCCAGCAAUUGUUACAGGCUACGUAACAACAGUGCCAAGAUCUGUAAGUGCAGGCCAGUGAAUUGGAGAGUUCUUGCAAACUCAGAUUGCUGGAGUGGUGCAGAAAGAGAAGGAAAGAAGCAAAGAAACAUUCCGCAUAAUGUUUGGUGACACUGUCAGAUGUUUGCCCUUGCCUUUUUUCUGUGUUUCAUGAUUUGUGAUUUUUUUUU
ensembl:lncRNA